rnacentral:rRNA from 1 species
AUUGAACGCUGGCGGCAGGCCUAACACAUGCAAGUCGAACGGCAGCACAGUAAUUGCUCGCGCUUUCGGGUGCCGAGGGGUGGGUGGUGCAUGGGAAUAUGCCUGUCUGCGUGGUCUAGCGUCAUGACGUGGGGGAUCAUACGCCAUUCCUCCUUACGGCGUAAGGGGGGAAUCAUCGGACCUUCCGCUCUUGGAUGAGCCUAGGUCGGAUUAGCUAGUUGGUGGGGUAAAGGCCUACCAAGGCGACGAUCCGUAACUGGUCUGAGAGGAUGAUCAGCCACACUGGAACUGAGACACGGUCCAGACUCCUACGGGAGGCAGCAGUGGGGAAUAUUGGACAAUGGGCGAAAGCCUGAUCCAGCCAUACCGCGUGUGUGAAGAAGGCCUUCGGGUUGUAAAGCACUUUUGGUGGGAAAGAAGAGCAGUAAGUUAAUACCCCGCUGUUUUGACGGUACCAACAGAAUAAGCACCGGCUAACUUCGUG